AGUGAACGCUGGCGGUAGGCCUAACACAUGCAAGUCGAACGGCAGCACAGUAAGAGCUUGCUCUUACGGGUGGCGAGUGGCGGACGGGUGAGGAAUACAUCGGAAUCUACUUUUUCGUGGGGGAUAACGUAGGGAAACUUACGCUAAUACCGCAUACGACCUACGGGUGAAAGCAGGGGAUCUUCGGACCUUGCGCGAUUGAAUGAGCCGAUGUCGGAUUAGCUAGUUGGCGGGGUAAAGGCCCACCAAGGCGACGAUCCGUAGCUGGUCUGAGAGGAUGAUCAGCCACACUGGAACUGAGACACGGUCCAGACUCCUCCGGGAGGCAGCAGUGGGGAAUAUUGGACAAGGGGCGCAAGCCUGAUCCAGCCAUACCGCGUGGGGGAAGAAGGCCUUCGGGUUGUAAAGCCCUUUUGUUGGGAAAGAAAAGCAGCAGGUUAAUACCCCGCUGUUCUGACGGUACCCAAAGAAUAAGCACCGGCUAACUUCG
rnacentral:rRNA from 1 species